GAUGCACUGCAGUAAGUAAUCGUUCGCGAUUUUAGUGUUGUUACGGGCGGAAAGUCUUCAUCGCUGGCGCCGGUUUCCUGUUGGCGGAGUGCAUCGGUUGUGUGGAGCUGUGUGGAUCGUCAGUUAUUGUAUCAGAGGUCUUUUUAUUACAACUGCACACUUGUGGAAGAAGCUUCGUUGGUAAUAGUAUUUUUUCUUCAAACACUAAAGGGGUGAGUGAAAGGCUUAAGAAGAAUGGCAUAAAUUGAGAGGGAAGGAAUUUGUAAAUAUAUUUCUGGCGCCUUAUUUCCAAAAAGUUAGUAUUGGCUCGCAUACAACCAAUUACCCUGAAGUGGGUAGAGCUUUCUACUAUGUGUUUAAUGUUGAUUAAGACGCUAAUGAGAGUGAAAUUAUAACUUAAGAAUUCUACUAGAUUUUUUUUAAGUGUUUUUGCCUUUUCCCAGAUAGUUCAGUUAGCAAUUCCUGCAAAUAUAUAAAUGGAAUCUAUGAAUAU